rnacentral:lncRNA from 1 species
UUUCUCCAUCCUAGUAAUCAAAUUUGAGCAAAAUCAAAUGGGGCUUUCUAUGAAAGUACCUUUUGUUGAUCUGAACGAGCUGGUAAUUUACAAAAUACCCUUCCUUUGUGAGGAAGGCUAAAGAAAAAAAGAAUCAGUAGCUUUUAAAGCUGGGCCUUAGUGGGACUCUAAAUGCAAUGAAAGCAGUCUGUGUUGAGAGACUGAAAUGCAUUUCAAAGCCAGGCCUGAUUCGGGGUACAAGGAAGAACAGACCUAUGUGCAUUUUGUAGGAAGAAAACUGUGAAUGGAAAAAGGAGAAGGGGAGAGAAACGGGGGAAAUCUGGAUAAUACAUUAAAGUAACCAUAAUUUUGGAGAUGCAUUCAUCUUAUUGAAAAUAUAUUUCCUCAUGGUUGUGAUUCCUCUUCACUCUUUUGAAUUUGGAAGGAUGGCAUACACAUCUGAAAAAUACCACUACUUCCUUCAUUGGACUGCAAGGUAUUUCUGUUUGGAAAAGUAAUGGAGUCCAGUCAACUUCAUUGAUCGCCAAGGACUGUCAAAAUUAUAAAACUUGCUGUGGAGCUCUGACAUGCCAGAAGCCGCUAGAAAAAGAAGUUUGACAUUCAGAAACUUAUCAAGAGGUUCUACUCUUUGGAUAGAGACCAAAAUCAUACUUUGAAAAAAUGAGAAGAGAUGGAAGCCAAGGAAGGGUGUGUGGAAUCAAGUAGCAGUUCUCAAAACAGCAUAUAUCAAGACCUCAGCACAUAUCAAGACCUCAGCACAUAUCAAGACAGUGGCACAAAAGCAUCGUAGUGUUGUCAUUCACCACUAUGCAGGAGGGAAAGCCAAUUUCAUUUCAGAAUGUCCUCAAUUAAUCUGUAGAAAUUAUUAAUUUUAUUAAAUCCCAACCCUUGA